rnacentral:tRNA from 4 species
GGCGCAGUGGCGAAGUGGUAACGCUGCGGUCUGCAAAACCGCGAUGCAGGGGUUCGAUUCCCCUCUGCGCCUCCA